AACAAGGAUAAGCUCAGCAUGGAAAUCGGGGUCCUGGGCCCUGAAUUGUAGGCUGGAGAGGUAUUACCAGCGGAGGCGCAGAUGUAAGCCUUUUGGAAAAGAGCAUCAACGAGGGUGAGAGUCCCGCUUGUCAUCUGCAGUCCCCCGCGUACGGUCUGCCUUCCAAGAGUCACGUUCCUCGAGAUUGGAGCGCAAACUGGGUGGUAAAUUUCAUCUAAAGCUAAACAUUGGUUCGAGACCGAUAGCAAACAAGUACCAUGAGGGAAAGGUGAAAAGGACUUUGAAAAGAGAAUUAAAAGUGCCUGAAAUUGCUGAAUUCAGCGCAAGCGUGGUAGGGAGUUUUGAGCAGGACGCGCGCAGUGCUUCUUGCUCUACGUGUCAUCUGCGGCCCACAUUUGGGGAAAACUCUGGGGACAUGGUAGCCUGCCCUUGGGUGGGUGAACGUGCUCAGUUGUACCCACUUGGGUGCCGAUUGAUGACUAAAUGGUUCCUUUCG
rnacentral:rRNA from 1 species